rnacentral:rRNA from 1 species
AAUCAACGCUGGCGGCGUGCCUAACACAUGCAAGUCGUACGAGAAAGUGGAGCAAUCCGUGAGUAAAGUGGCGACCGGGUGAGUAACACGUGACUACCUACCUUCUAGUGGGGGAUAACUCCGGGAAACCGGAGCUAAUACCGCAUAACAUCGCAAGAUCAAAGCAGCAAUGCGCUGGAAGAGGGGGUCGCGGCUGAUUAGCUAGUUGGUAGGGUAAUGGCCUACCAAGGCAAAGGUCGGUAUCCGGCCUGAGAGGGCGCACGGACACACUGGAACUGAAACACGGUCCAGACUCCUACGGGAGGCAGCAGUGGGGAAUUUUGCGCAAUGGGGGAAACCCUGACGCAGCAACGCCGCGUGGAGGAUGAAGUCCCUUGGGACGUAAACUCCUUUCGACCAAGACGAUUAUGACGGUACUGGUGGAAGAAGCACCGGCUAACUCUGUGCCAGCCGCCGCGGUAACAC